rnacentral:rRNA from 1 species
UACGUAGGGGGCAAGCGUUGUCCGGAUUUAUUGGGCGUAAAGCGCGUGUAGGUGGCCAAGUAGGUCCGCUGUGAAAACUUGAGGCUCAACCUCAAGCUGUCGGUGGAAACCCCUUGGCUAGAGUCCGGAAGAGGAGAGUGGAAUUCCUGGUGUAGCGGUUGAAAUGCGCAGAUAUCAGGAAGAACACCAAUGGCGAAGGCAGCUCUCUGGGACGGUACUGACACUGAGACGCGAAAGCGUGGGGAGCGAACAGG